rnacentral:rRNA from 1 species
UACGAAGGGGGCUAGCGUUGCUCGGAAUUACUGGGCGUAAAGCGCACGUAGGCGGGUUCUUAAGUCGGGGGUGAAAGCCCAGGGCUCAACCCUGGAAUUGCCUUCGAUACUGGGAGUCUUGAGUUCGGAAGAGGUUGGUGGAACUGCGAGUGUAGAGGUGAAAUUCGUAGAUAUUCGCAAGAACACCAGUGGCGAAGGCGGCCAACUGGUCCGAAACUGACGCUGAGGCGCGAAAGCGUGGGGAGCAAACAGG